GACAAUAUAAGCAAGCAAACAAGUACUCUAGCUAUCAAUUUACUUUGGACUACUAUAUGAUAAAUAUUUCAACCCCCCUCCUCCCCCACCAAAAAAAAAUUAAAAUAACAAGUUGAAGGACUCAAAAAAAAAAAAAAAAAAACUCAAAACCAACCUCAAUCAUACAUUCAUAUCCUCUUCCUACCCCCAUCUUGGAUGAGAUAAGAUUAACGAGGUGCUUACACGUGUCACCUCUAUUGUGGUGACUUAAAAAAAAUUCCAACCUUUCAUAUGUAGAUAUUAAGUAAUUGUAUAAUGUUAUCAAGAACCACAUAACAUAUCAAAAACCUUAUCAUUUCAUUAUAUAAAAGGAUAGUGGACAUCAAAAGGUUCAUAUUGAACCAAAAAAAGAGAGAAGAAGCAAUAUGGCUUCCUCUGUCAUUUCUUCAGCAGCUGUUGCCACACGCAGCAAUGUUACACAAGCUAGCAUGGUUGCACCUUUCACUGGUCUCAAAUCUUCAGCCACUUUCCCUGUUACAAAGAAGCAAAACCUUGACAUCACUUCCAUUGCUAGCAAUGGUGGAAGAGUUAGCUGCAUGCAGGUAACUCACUCAUCGGUUUUCCGAAAUUGAUAUUUUCUUAGUAUGUUGUAACAUGUAAUCUGUCUUAUUUCUCGAUUCAAUUAUCUAAGGGUUAUAUGUAUGUUAGCUACUCUCUCUGGCUUAAUUUAUGUGACGGUAGUACUAUUUUAUUUUAGUUAGUAUAAAAAAGAGUGAUUUACUUUGUUUCAGUUUGUUUGUUUAAUCUUAAUUUAACAUAACUUUUAAGAAAAUUAAAAAGUCUUUUGAAUUUGUAGUUUUAAAUUAAAGUUACGUAGAAUGUAUUAAAAUAUCCUACAUUUUGUGAUUUCAAACAUGUUAACUGUCACGUGAAAAAUUAGAAUUAGAUAAUUAUCAAAAAAAAAAAAAGAGACUUUAGAAGAGUAAUAUAAACAAAUUGAAACAUGAGUAUAUGUAGUUACUGACCUCUGAUCUAGUUUAUGCCAUUAUUAUUUUUCUUUUUAAGUCUGUUUUAAAAGAAUGACAUAUUUUUAUAUUUAAUAGCAGUAUUGAUUUAAGUUUGAAAAAAAUUUCUAUUUUAUCUUUAAUGAGAUGAUUUAUAAUUACAUAAGUAUUUAUAUUAUCUUAGACCAUAAACUACGAAAAUCUCUGUUUAUUCUUAAAAUUCCAUUUACCAUUAAGUACCUCCACAUAAGAAUUAAAAAAAGAGAGUAUCUUUCAAAUUAUCUGAUAAUUCAUAGAAGUUAAAAGAUCCAAUUGCUUAACUUAUCUUUGAUUAUAUUAAACACAUGAAAAGUGUAUCCUACGUAUAAUCUCUACGUUCAAAAUUAAAGACAAAUUUAAGAUCUAGAAUUGAUGAACUCAAAAUAUCUCUAUCUUAUUAUUAUUAUGUAUAUAUACAACUUAAUUUUUCGAAAUGUUGAUGAAUGUAUGUUAAAUCCUUUACAAUAGUGCAUUUUUAGAUAAUUCGAUAAGAGUGUAACAAUAUUUUCAGAAAGUCGAUAACUUUUUUUUCUUUUUUUUUUUUGGAUAUGUGUAUAGGUGUGGCCACCAAUUAACAUGAAGAAGUACGAGACACUCUCAUACCUUCCUGAUUUGUCUGACGAGCAAUUGCUUAGUGAAAUUGAGUACCUUUUGAAAAAUGGAUGGGUUCCUUGCUUGGAAUUUGAGACUGAGGUCAAUAUCAUAUUUACUUUUGUUUUAUCGAAAAAUGAUAUAUUUUUAUAUUUAGAUACGAUUUAUAUUUAACACUUCAAUGUUUUUUUUAUGUGUAGCACGGAUUUGUCUACCGUGAGAACAACAAGUCACCAGGAUACUAUGAUGGAAGGUCAGUAGCGGAUUCAUAAGUUAAAGAAUUCAUUCAUACUUUUUUUUAGUUAAAUCGUAGGUAUAGGUACGAGAAUCAUGAAAAUUAAUAUAAAUAUCAUGUUUCGAACUCGUUUAUUAAAAAAAAAAAACUCAUAAAACAUACUAUGAACAUCACUAGUCUGUAUAAAAAGGGAAAAAAAAGAAGAUAAAUAUACCCUUAGAAUAUCAUAAGUGGUAUGCAGAUAUCUUCGGUCAUAGUUUUGGGACAUUGGUACUUCUGCCGUCCAAAAACUAGAACGUUGAUAUAUAUGUUGUAGUUUUUGGACCGCAGAAGCAUCAAUGUCCCAAAAAUAUGAUGAAAAAUAUCUGUAUACUAUUUACGAUAGUUCGGAUAUAUUUGUCCCUUUUUUCUAAGUUUUUAUAAAGUUAAAAAGUUAAAAUUUUGAAUCCGCAGGUACUGGACCAUGUGGAAGUUGCCUAUGUUUGGGUGCACUGAUGCAACCCAAGUGUUGGCUGAGGUUCAAGAGGCUAAAAAGGCAUACCCACAAGCAUGGGUCAGAAUCAUUGGAUUCGACAAUGUGCGUCAAGUGCAGUGUAUCAGUUUCAUUGCCUACAAGCCAGAAGGCUACUAAGUUUCAUAUUAGGAACAAAAUUGUCUUUAGGGACACUUUGUUUUUAAAUGCUACUUAGGUCUUUUUUCUUUUUUGUCUUAAUUCCAACAAACUCUUUGUGUCUUGUACUAUUCGGUUUAUGUUUUGGAUUUAUGAGUACCUAAUUAUAUGAUAAUGAUUUGGUGCUUUGUUUGUAAAUUUUGAUUCUUGUGGUUUAUAU
rnacentral:lncRNA from 1 species